GCCCAGGUGCUUUCCCACCCUGCGACAGCCCAUCUCCUCUCCCUCCUUGCUUUUCUCUAUACUCCAUGCCAGGUGGGCCCCCUAGCCAAAAGCGCUCCUGUUCUUCUUCAACCGCGCGUGAGCACCGCCACAACCAACCGGAAAUCUAGGUGUUCUGUUAAACAAAUCCCAACAAAUUCUUUCUCCCCCACCCGGCUCUACAACAGAGUACAAAUUUGUGACCGGCUUGCACCCCCUUGGCCAUCAAUUACAUAAAAUCUCGGCCAUUACCGAAGGAAGAGCGCAGAGACAUAAAGGAUGCCGUUGCAGUUAAAUUCGAGGAGGAAUGGAGCAGAUGCCUUGCAGAGACCAUGGAUGUGAUCACCAGUGUCUUUCUAACCCGUUUGGCUUAUCGGCGGGCUCGGAAAUGGGCUGGCGUGAUCGGAAUUCGUCGUCAGAGUAGUGAUGCCGCUGCGCACCGCGCGGUUCCGCGGGUCGGGGUCAUCACUUCAUCAUCCCAGGUAAAAAGCCAACCGAUAGGAUCGUUGCGUUGCGAGCAUCGUAGCACGGUUACAGAUGUAGUUGGGACCUUGGCACGCUGGUUUGCCGUUCUUCGGCGGGUGCGCCGCCACGAGGUGGCCAGCUCCACCAUCUAGGGUCUCGGGUGGGGAAGAAGGUGCCAUCAUCAUCGAUCUGUUCGCGGACGGCUGGGAUCGUACUAGGCAUCCGGUUUGGCCAGAUCCGAUUGGGACCGUAGAUUGCGAAUCGAGUGGUUGUGGUUGGUUUGAGUUUUCAUAAAAUCUGGGCCAUCGGGUCUCAAUCCAGUGGCUCAUAGCGCAUACCGUUUCGGGUAGCUGAAAAUCUAAUCCGGGGCAUAGAUUUCGGAUCCAACGGCUGAAAUCAGUCCAUACCUCUUCGGCCGCGUGUUCUUGCUAAAAAGUCCCUCAACCUUUAACAAAUCAACCAGCCGUCCCGAUUUGCAUGAUUGGGUCCUCGGCUGGGUGCUUAAAAAUUACAAAGUGAUCCCAGGAAGUUUACAGAAACACCCAUGGAUGCUAAUUCUGGUAUAAAAUAAAUAUUAAAUUACCUAGAAACUUAGACAAUUCAUAACUUUUGCAUUCCACCUCUGAUUUGAUCCGUUCGAAUUGCGUUAGAUUCAUAAUAAUAUCCCCUAUACAGUAUGGCACUAACUUUUAUCACACCCCAUAAUUUUAUUAUUAGAAAUUUGUCUAGCCUAUGUUUAAUAGAUUAACUCUUCUAAUCAAAGUUUACAUGUCCAUAAUUAUAAUUUGACUAAAAUACGAUCUCGAGUCAAGUUAUAAUUUAGAUUAAAAUGGAGUUAAUUUUUUGAAGUAUGUUAUCCCAUAUGGCGUAUAAUAACCAAAUUAUACUAUGGUUUAAUAUUUAAUCACUUAAAUCUUCCAUAAACUAUAUCUUUCUAAUUGUAACUCCGAAUUUAGUGAUUCUCGAGCCUACGAUCUCGUAGCGAUGCGUAGAAUAUUAUUAUACGGUUUGUUCUUAUGGUUGGUGUAAUGUUAAUUUUGUCUAUAUCAUGUUUGUUUGUAUUGCUACGACUAGCAGCGAGGAUACGAGUC
rnacentral:lncRNA from 1 species